rnacentral:rRNA from 1 species
UACGUAGGGUGCGAGCGUUAAUCGGAAUUACUGGGCGUAAAGCGUGCGUAGGCGGUUUGUUAAGUCCGUUGUGAAAGCCCUGGGCUCAACCUGGGAAUUGCAGUGGAUACUGGCAAGCUAGAGUACGGUAGAGGAUGGUGGAAUUCCCGGUGUAGCGGUGAAAUGCGUAGAGAUCGGGAGGAACACCCGUGGCGAAGGCGGCCAUCUGGACCAGUACUGACGCUGAGGCACGAAAGCGUGGGGAGCAAACAGG